rnacentral:lncRNA from 1 species
GGCGCGGCGUUGGCCACGCUCGUGGAGUUCAUGGGCCAAGCCACAAGGCAGUGCGAGAAGUACUAUAGCUUGGUGCCAGCCUGUAGAUGCAAAGAGCAUGAAAUGAAGCACAUCUGCAGAUACCACGGCAGGCAAGCAGGUGAAAAAGUGAUGGAGGCUGCAGAAGAAAAGAAAAAUGCAGCCUCUGUAGCGUCCAGGCAACCUAAAACUUGCCAACAACAUACCAGGAAGGCUUCCAAAGACAUCUACAUUGAAGUUUCUCCUGGCACCUAUUCUGUCACAGCAACCUCAGAGGACAUGGUGAAACAAACCCAUGUGGUGGAUAUAAAGUCUAUGGCAUGUUCUUGAACACAGAGAGCAAAAUCCCUGCAGUAUGAAUGCAGAUGUGCAUGAGCUUCUGCAGACUGGCACAGCUGAGGAUCUGGCUCACAGUGUACCACAUCUCUCUGCUUCAAUUAUUCUCUUAAGGAAAGAAAAUGCCAAUGAAGUUCAUUAUCUAGGACCCCAACUCAAGAAGGUGCUUAAAUAUUUGUCAAAUGUUCAGCAUAGGCACAAACUAUUGCCAGGCAACCUACUCAAGACCAACCUCUAUGCAGGCUCUUGCCUAGACUAAACAUUAGUUAGUUGCCCUUUUUCAGUAGGAGGUGAGGUACCCACCUGAGUUGCCUCACCUUUCCUGCAGAGGGAAGUACUGCUGAGCAACUGCAUGCUGCAACUUAUUUCUGAGUUAAUAUGCUUUAAAAACAUGCACAGUCCCACUAAUGAGACUCACUGGAUGCUUAUGUCUGCUGAAGAAUCAGAUGCUACAGUUAGAAUAAGUCACAUGAUCUGUACAUCUAUACUCUUAGCUAAUGUUAACUUUGACAAGGAAAUAAAAUUCUGUGCCUUGAGUUCUCA